AUACGUAGGGGGCGAGCGUUGUCCGGAAUGAUUGGGCGUAAAGGGCGCGUAGGCGGCGCGGUAAGUCUGGAGUGAAAGUCCUGCUUUCAAGGUGGGAAUUGCUUUGGAUACUGCCGCGCUUGAGUGCAGGAGAGGUUAUCGGAAUUCCCGGUGUAGCGGUGAAAUGCGUAGAGAUCGGGAGGAACACCAGUGGCGAAGGCGGGUAACUGGACUGCAACUGACACUGAGGCGCGAAAGUGUGGGGAGCAAACAGGAUUAGAUACCCUGGUAGUCCACACUGUAAACGAUGAAUGCUAGGUGUAAGAGGUAUCGACCCCUUUUGUGCCGGAGUCAACACAAUAAGCAUUCCGCCUGGGGAGUACGGCCGCAAGGUUGAAACUCAAAGGAAUUGACGGGG
rnacentral:rRNA from 1 species